rnacentral:pre_miRNA from 1 species
CAACUACUCCCUCUGUCCCAAAAUUCUUGCCUUAGAUUUGUCUAGAUACGGAUGUAUCUAAUACUAAAACGUGACUUGAUACAUCCAUAUCUAGACAAAUCUAAGACAAGAAUUUUGGGACGGAGGGAGUACUUU